rnacentral:rRNA from 1 species
UACGGGGGGGGCAAGCGUUGUUCGGAAUUACUGGGCGUAAAGGGCUCGUAGGCGGCCAACUAAGUCGGACGUGAAAUCCCCAGGCUCAACCUGGGAACUGCGUCCGAUACUGGAUGGCUUGAAUCCGGGAGAGGGAUGCAGAAUUCCCGGUGUAGCAGUGAAAUGCGUAGAUAUCGGGAGGAACAUCUGUGGCGAAGGCGACACCCUGGACCAGCACUGACACUGAGGCACGAAAGCGUGGGGAGCAAACAGG